GCGGCUGGGGGCUGUGCUGUGCUUGUGCGGCUCCGGGCCGUGCCGUUCCGGCCGUGCUAUACGGCUCCGGCCGUG
rnacentral:tRNA from 1 species